AACGAACGCUGGCGGCAGGCUUAACACAUGCAAGUCGAACGCAUCCUUCGGGGUGAGUGGCAGACGGGUGAGUAACGCGUGGGAACGUGCCCUUCAGUUCGGAAUAACCCAGGGAAACUUGGGCUAAUACCGGAUACGUGCGAGAGCAGAAAGAUUUAUCGCUGAAGGAUCGGCCCGCGUCUGAUUAGCUAGUUGGUGAGGUAAUGGCUCACCAAGGCGACGAUCAGUAGCUGGUCUGAGAGGAUGAUCAGCCACAUUGGGACUGAGACACGGCCCAAACUCCUACGGGAGGCAGCAGUGGGGAAUAUUGGACAAUGGGCGCAAGCCUGAUCCAGCCAUGCCGCGUGAGUGAUGAAGGCCUUAGGGUUGUAAAGCUCUUUCGUCCGGGACGAUAAUGACGGUACCGGAAGAAGAAGCCCCGGCUAACUUCGUGCCAGCCGCCGCCGUAAAAC
rnacentral:rRNA from 1 species